CGUGCGCAGGCGGUUUCGUAAGACAGAUGUGAAAUCCCCGGGCUUAACCUGGGAACUGCAUUUGUGACUGCGAGACUAGAGUGUGGCAGAGGGGGGUAGAAUUCCACGUGUAGCAGUGAAAUGCGUAGAGAUGUGGAGGAAUACCGAUGGCGAAGGCAGCCCCCUGGGCCAACACUGACGCUCAUGCACGAAAGCGUGGGGAGCAAGCAGGAUUAGAUACCCUGGUAGUCCACGCCCUAAACGAUGUCAACUAGUUGUUGGGGAAGGAGACUUCCUUAGUAACGCAGCUAACGCGUGAAGUUGACCGCCUGGGGAGUACGGUCGCAAGAUUAAAACUCAAAGGAAUUGACGGGGACCCGCACAAGCGGUGGAUUAUGUGGAUUAAUUCGAUGCAACGCGAAAAACCUUACCUACCCUUGACAUGCCAGGAACUUUCCAGAGAUGGAUUGGUGCCCGAAAGGGAACCUGGACACAGGUGCUGCAUGGCUGUCGUCAGCUCGUGUCGUGAGAUGUUGGGUUAAGUCCCGCAACGAGCGCAACCCUUGCCAUUAAUUGCCAUCAUUCAGUUGGGCACUUUAAUGGGACUGCCGGUGAUAAACCGGAGGAAGGUGGGGAUGACGUCAAGUCCUCAUGGCCCUUAUGGGUAGGGCUUCACACGUAAUACAAUGGUCGGUACAGAGGGUUGCCAACCCGCGAGGGGGAGCUAAUCCCAGAAAGCCGAUCGUAGUCCGGAUUGUUCUCUGCAA
rnacentral:rRNA from 1 species